rnacentral:lncRNA from 1 species
AAGCCGAUCACUCUGUAUUUUAUCAUCACUCAACUCAAGGGUGCAUCUAUCUUAUUGUUUACGUGGAUGACAUUGUUAUAACUGGUAGUGAUCAGCAAGGAAUACUCCAGUUAAAACAACAUCUCUCAAAUAAAUUUCAGGCUAAAGACCUUGGUAAACUCCGUUAUUUUCUGGGUAUUGAAGUAGCACAAUCCAAGGAUGGCCUUGUAAUUUCACCAAGAAAAUAUGCUAUGGAUAUUCUUGAAGAAACUGGCCUACUAAAUGCCAAGUCAGUUGAUACUCCUAUGGAUCCAAAUGUCAAACUCCUACCCAAUCAGGGGGAGGCCUUGUAAUUUCACAAAGAAAAUAUGCUAUGGAUAUUCUUGAAGAAACUGGCCUACUAAAUGCCAAGUCAGUUGAUACUCCUAUGGAUCCAAAUGUCAAACUCCUACCCAAUCAGGGGGAGCCUCUAUCAGAUUCAGGAAGAUAUAGGAGAUUGGUUGGAAAAUUAAACUAUCUCACAGUCACGCGUCCUAACAUUUCCUUUGCUGUCAGUAUGGUAAAUCAGUUUUUAAAUUCUCCUAGCCAAGAACAUAUGGAUGCUGUAAAUCCGGAUUCUUAAAUACAUCAAAAGCGCACCUGGAAAAGGUCUCAUUUAUGAAGAUAGAGGACAUACUCAAAUAAUUGGCUACUCAGAUGCUGAUUGGGCAGGCUCACCCAUAGAUAGACGAUCAACUUAAGUGCACCUGGAAAAGGUCUCAUUUAUGAAGAUAGAGGACAUACUCAAAUAAUUGGCUACUCAGAUGCUGAUUGGGCAGGCUCACCCAUAGAUAGACGAUCAACUUUCGGGUAUUGUGUACUCAUAGGAGGAAAUUUAAUAUCUUGGAAGAGUAAGAAACAAAAUGUUGCAAGAUCUAGCGUUGAUGCAGAAUACAGGGUCAUGGCACUAGUAACAUGUGAACUCAUCUGGCUGAAACAGUUACUGAAAGAACUUCAAUAUGAAGACACCAGCACAAUGACAUUAAUAUGUGAUAAUCAAGCUGCAUUGCACAUUGCCUCGAAUCCGGUUUUUCAUGAGAGGACCAAGCAUAUUGAGAUAGAAUGCCAUUUUGUUAGAGAAAAGAUUGAAUCAAGUGACAUCAUCACCAGCUUUGUCAAAUCCAAUGAUCAGUUAGUAGAUGUGUUUACAAAGUCAUUGCAAGGUCCUAGAAUUAGUUAUAUAUGUAACAAGCUAGGUGCAUUUGAUUUAUAUGCUCCAGCUUGAGGGAGAGUGUUAAAUACUAUAUUAGAAUGUAAAUAAUAUAUAUGGGCUGUAAGUAUGUAAGUAUUCUGGCCCGUUAGCAUUACUGUAGAUUAGGGUUAUUUAAUACUCUG